rnacentral:rRNA from 1 species
GACGUAGGGGGCAAGCGUUGUUCGGAAUUACUGGGCUUAAAGGGUCCGCAGGCGGACCAGCAAGUACCUUGUGAAAUCUCAGGUCUCAACCCUGAGUCUGCUGGGUAGACUGCUGGUCUUGAGUGCAAAAGGGGUCGCUGGAACUCUAGGUGGAGCGGUGAAAUGCGUAGAUAUCUAGAGGAACGCCAAAGGUGAAGACAGGCGACUGGUUUGCAACUGACGCUCAUGGACGAAAGCGUGGGGAUCAAACGGG